CAGCCGUAAACUAUGCUCGCUAGGUGUCAGGCAUGGCGCGACCGUGUCUGGUGCCGCAGGGAAGCCGUGAAGCGAGCCACCUGGGAAGUACGGCCGCAAGGCUGAAACUUAAAGGAAUUGGCGGGGGAGCACAACAACGGGUGGAGCCUGCGGUUUAAUUGGACUCAACGCCGGACAACUCACCGGGAACGGACAGCAAUAUGUAGGCCAGGCUGAAGACCUUGCCUGAAUCGCUGAGAGGAGGUGCAUGGCGUAGACGUCU
rnacentral:rRNA from 1 species